CUGGAUGCAGGUCUAGGAAACCAACCCCUGGUCAGAGUAGCCCAAGAGAGAACAGGCCCAUGCCCAGUGCUUUGGUGCAAGCACAGCAGCUGGCCUGAAGAUAAGAGUUAAAUGAAUCCAGCCCCCUGAAAGGAAGGUUGUCUAUGCUACAGAAUCAAAUCAGGAAGAAAGGAAGCUAUUCUCUCACCUAAGGGCAUUGAGAAAGCAAGGCUGAAGACUAGGUGGGCAACAGCGCUGCAUGUCAAAGGGUUUACUGUGAUUUCACAAAGCUCCAUAGAAAGCCUCCAAAUGAAGACUGGCAGGCUGGGAAAGUCUCUGAAACCAUGAAGAAAAGGGACUAGUGGAGGAGCUGCCCUCAAGAGAAAGGCAAGAUGUUGAGUUUAGAUGGCCUCAGAAUAUUAAGCACCUAACCUGCUCUGUCAUUUAGGUUAAUUCAUG
rnacentral:lncRNA from 1 species